CGGAGCCGCACGCAGACACAGAGAGAGAAGCGCGUCAGCGAGGGACAAGCGCUCACCUUCAGACAGAUGCGACUGCAACCCCCAACCAUGAGCCGUGUCCUUGGAGCAGAGGGACGAUUCGGCCCCUCCCGCCACACCCUCCGUCUCACUGGCUGUCUGGAGGGUGUUUCAUCGAAACCCUGCUGUGCUGGUUACAAAUCGGCUCCUCCAAACGCAGCUGGUAACUUCAGGAACCUAUGGAACUUUUAUUUGAAAACAUAUUCAUAUUCACAUGACAGCAAACCACAGAAAUAGUGCUGCGUGUAUUCCCGAUCCAAAGCAAUCAAACUACAAAGACCAAAACAUAAAUAAAAAACCUCGGUCUGCUUGGGUUUUCAUCUUCUUCUUAAACAACCCUGUGUCACAAAGGAGACCAAACUGAAAUUCUAAUGCUGUGCUGCCCAAUAUCCUGGGCAGCUGAAACGUGGCUACCCUGCGCUGAGGCUGCUGCGGUUGUGAACACGCUAGAUUUGCAAGACUUAAAAUGAAAAAAUAAUGUAAACUGUCUCAUGAGUAUGUUUUUUUAAUUGAUUACAUGUUUAAAUGAUAAU